GCUAAACGCGAAGAACCUUACCAGCCCUUGACAUGGCAGGACGGUUUCCAGAGAUGGAUUCCUUCACUUCGGUGACCUGGACACAGGUGCUGCAUGGCUGUCGUCAGCUCGUGUCGUGAGAUGUUGGGUUAAGUCCCGCAACGAGCGCAACCCUUAUUGACAGUUGCCAAUAUUAAGUUAGGAACUCUGUCAAGACUGCCGUUGAUAAAACGGAGGAAGGUGGGGACGAUGUCAAGUCAUCAUGGCCUUUAUGUUCAGGGCUACACACGUGCUACAAUGGAUGGUACAAAACGUCGCAAUCCUGCAAAGGGGAGCUAAUCGCAAAAACCAUUCUCAGUUCGGAUCGGAGUCUGCAACUCGACUCCGUGAAGUUGGAAUCGCUAGUAAUCGCAAAUCAGCAUGUUGCGGUGAAUACGUUCCCGGGUCUUGUACACACCG
rnacentral:rRNA from 1 species